GUGAGCGUGGCGAAGGGGUUAACGCACCGGAUUGUGGAUCCGGCAUACGUGGGUUCGAUUCCCAUCGCUCACCCCA
rnacentral:tRNA from 1 species